rnacentral:tRNA from 1 species
GGGGCCGUCGUCUAGCCUGGCAGGAUGCCAGCCUGGGGAGCGCUGGUGGUCCCGGGUUCAAAUCCCGGCGGCCCCACCA